GCAGCAGAAAAUUUAUUCUCGUUUCUCUCCGCGUCUCGGUGGUAAAUAUGUUCUUGAUCUUCCUGCUGAAAGUCGGGUAAACUCCCUCGCUUUCGGGAUUCCGGAGCUAUCCAUGUCACGCGUCUGCCAGGUCACCGGUAAGAAGCCCAUGCUGGGCAACAACGUUUCGCACGCGAACAACAAGACGCGGCGGCGUUUUCUGCCCAAUCUGCAGUAUCGCCGCUUCUGGAUUGAGGGCGAGAAGCGCUGGAUCGGGCU
rnacentral:misc_RNA from 1 species